AUAUAGAAAUGAUUGGUAAACGAGAAUUAAGAGAGGAAAAGUCAUUCAAAGAGGAAAAAAAUCUUCUCCCUGGUGUAUGGAAAUUAUUACAUCUGAAAGUAAAUCACAGUCACUUCUAAUCCAAUGAUGUCUUCUGAAGGUAAGAUCUCAGAACAGCACCAGAGGUAUUCCCGGUAGCUUGUUGGAAAUGCAAAGACUUGGGCCCACCCCAGACUCCAAUUUCUGAAUCAGAACCUUGGGGUGGGAUCCAGCAGUCUACAUCUAACAAAUCCUCCAACUGAUUCCAAUGCACACAACAGUUUGAGAAACACUGAUACUGAUCUAAACUAUAUCCUACAAUAAAUUAUAUGUUUAAAUACUUAACCAAAAGGCACAGCCCAAGAGGAAAACUUGUUUGUCAAAUUAAAAGGACAUUCUUUACAGCUCUACAUCCAAGAACCUGACCUUGAGGUCAAAGGCUCAUGAAACCCACCUCCUGGGAACAACCUAACUUGGGCACAUAGAACAAAGUCAUUUGGAUCUCAUGGUGCUCCAACUGCUGAAACUUUACCCCCUUACCUUGAAUUUAGAACUUUCUCCUACUCUGACAUCUAAUGUCUACUUACUCUAGCACAGAGUUUUUCCAUGUGAGUUUCUGAUUCCUUUCCUGUUCUGACCUGAUACAUAGCACCAUGAACACACCAAAUCUUAUGUGAACUGAGACUCGUUAAGAAGUUUUUCCAUGUGGCCUUUGAAUUCUGAAGAACAUCAAAAGUACCAAGUAAAGAAUAUUCUUAUAUCAUCUCUGCAAGGGUUACGGUACCAGUUUUGUGUUAGUAAGAAAACCAGAGAUGAGAUACCAAGAUAAACCAAAGACUUGUGAAGAAACCAAAAGUAGGAAUUAUUCAAGCUUCCAUUCAGAACUACAUCAUUUUCAACAAUUUAAAAAGAGAAAUAAAGUAUGAAUGCAUUUGAUAAUAACAAUGAAUUGAA
rnacentral:lncRNA from 1 species